ACCUGCUUUCUUUGCUGGCGACCGGCGCACGGGUGGGUAACACGUAUCCAACCUGCCCUUUACUCGGGGAUAGCCUUUCGAAAGAAAGAUUAAUACCCGAUAGCAUAAUGAUUCCGCAUGGUUUCAUUAUUAAAGGAUUCCGGUAAAGGAUGGGGAUGCGUUCCAUUAGGUUGUUGGUGGGGUAACGGCCCACCAAGCCUUCGAUGGAUAGGGGUUCUGAGAGGAAGGUCCCCCACAUUGGAACUGAGACACGGUCCAA
rnacentral:rRNA from 1 species